CUGGGCUACUGACUGCGCAGAUACAGAUGCCGUAUGCAUCAAAUAGCUAUUGAUUUUCACACGUAGCACUUGUUCUGUGCAGAGGAAGGACUCUGAACACUAGUGAUCUGAUUAUUAGCAGACUCUCUUCAUUUGCACACAUCGAACGAGAGACGCUCGGUGAAGAGAGAUGAUUCUGAGCAUCUCUCGGUAAAGAGGUCAGGUCUCCAGUGAGGUUGAAGUAGCAGUGCGACGACAUAUUUUUAACUAUUUUGAUGCUCUGCCUUUUUGAGACAGAGAAGGAAACGGAAAACAUUCAUGAUUAAUUCUGACAUUAACAGAGUUCACAGAGCGAGAGAAAAAGAGAGAGAGAGAGACAGAGAGACAGAGAGAGAAAGCUAAAGGUCCGUUAAAAUAGGAAACUCUGCCUACAGAAACACAGCUUAUUGUUUCUGUGGAAUUAAUAAUUGACGGUUGUUAAAUGAAUAAUUUAUCACAAACUGGAAUAAUUGUUGUAUCUCUAAUCUCGACGCAAAUUUGCAUAAGAAUCUUGUAAAAAACUGCCUCUAUGUACUCUAUAAACUUCGAGGGGGUGUGAAAUUUAAUUUAUCCUAUGCAAUAAAACGAGAGUUUCUCCUGCAGGUUUCGGCCCUCUUGAGGAAGUGUACGCCGGAUCAGAGACGUGUGUGUGUGUGUGUGUGUGUGUGUAUGUGUGUGUGUGUGUGUGUAUGUGUGUGUGUGUUGAUUCUUCACAUUUUUCUGUUUCUAUUCUAAAAUCCGCUGUGAGGAAGAGCAUAUGGCUUUACAUUAGAUAAGACGAAUGAUUCACUAUCAAAUGCAAUGUCAAAUGUCAUGAUAUGUGAUGAGUAAACAAUAUAAAAGUGCAUUAUAAAACAGAUCCUCCCACUCCUGGAUGCUGAUUGGUCAAUUACUCAUCAGUCAUUCAAAAAUACACAAUAUAACAGCAUGAACCCAAUUGGAUGUCUCGUCCUAUAUUUGCAUAAAUACUGAAUAAAUUUGAAUCCGAGUAAAUAUUUGUGUCCUUAAUAAUCUAUUAAGUACUGUAAAUGCAAUAAAGUGAUGAACUGUGAAUAU